CUAAUUGCUUUUACUGCCUGGAUCCGUAUGUUUGAGACUUAUCUGCUUGCAAUCAGUGCUACAGAGAUUUCUGAAGUAAGAAAGAGUGCUCUGCUAAUCCACUGCCUUGGAGCAGAAGGGCAGCAUAUAUUUUACACUUUUCCCCUUGCAGAUGAUAAAUAUGAGACUGAACUCACUGCAUUAAAGAACUUUUUUGUGCCAAAAGUGAAUGUAGUAGCUAAUCGCUACAGAUUUCACCAGCGUGAGCAGAAACCAGAGGAGAUUAUAAUGCAGUAUAUGGCUUCUCUGAGGAGUCUGAUUGUAACUUGUGACUUUGGGAAUAUGGCAGAUGAGAUGAUUAGAGACCAGCUCAUUGAGAAAACAACCAUGCUUCAUGUAAGAGAACGCUUACUUCUAGAACCACAACUUACACUAGAAAAAGCAAUAACCAUUGCUACUCAGAUUGAGUCAGCUACAGCUGAAGCCAAAAUAAUGAGCCAGGGUACAGCAGGCCCAGUCCAGGCUGUGAUUCCUUUGCAGAAAAGUUCACUAUCACUGCAGACAAACAAUUGCAAAAGGAAAACUAAUGAAAAGCCACUGAAUCAGCAAAUGCAAAAUACAGUAAAAGCAUGCUUUCGCUGUGGAUCCCCACAACAUCUUGCAAGCUACACAGUAUGUCCAGCAAAAGUAGCUCAGUGCAAUCAUUGCAAAAAGAUUGGGCAUUUUGCUAAAGUAUGUCGCAGUAGCCAGUUCAAUCAACAGGUGCAUGCAGUUACCAUACCAGAUGUUACUGUGCUGAGUGUAGACAAAAUCACUACUGCACAUAUUCCAGAACAGAUAAAGUGCACUGUAAAUGUUUCUGCCAUACCCUCAGUCAAAUCACACUCUAUUCAGCUAAUGUUGGACACCGGCUCAGCAGUAUCUAUACUACCUGAUUCCAUCUAUUUGCAUUACUUUAAAGAUGUGCCUCUUACUGAACCCAAACUUCACUUGGUAUGCUAUUUGAAAAACCAUAUUCCAGUACAUGGCUGCUUGCCAGCAAUAGUUACUUUUGGUGAUCGCUGUGUAACUGCGGAAUUCUACAUUGUUCACAAAGGCACUCGUAUCCUUGGCAGAGAUUUAAUUAGCUGCUUUAAAUCUCAGGGUAGUUAAUGGACGAAUUGAUCUUCCUCAGCAAAGCACUCUUGCGGUACACACACCAGUUUCAACUGGGACCCAACUCCAGGUCGAGAAGAAACUCGGCUAUGCUUAUGGGUUUCUGCAUAAAGUUAAAAUGCGGAAUAAUGUGUUGCCCGUACGACAGAAAUUACGGCGCUUACCAUUUUCAGUCAGGGAAGCUGUUUCAGAGGAACUUAGAAAACUUGUUCAAAAGGACAUUAUUGAAGAGAUUAACUCCUCGGAAUGGGUUUCACCUAUAGUAGUGACGCAGAAGAAGGGUGGAGACAUUCGCCUUUGUGUGGACUUAAGGGAGCCAAAUAAAGCUAUUGUGAUUGACAGCCAUCCUCUUCCUCACAUAGAGGAAGUAUUUGCAGAACUCCGUGGAGCAAAGAUGUUUUCUACUCUUGAUUUGCAGAGCGCAUACCACCAGGUUAUGUUGCACAAAGAUAGCAGAGAGCUCACAGCAUUUAUUACACAUGAGGGACUAUUUCGUUUUAAACGUGUUCCAUAUGGUCUCGCAUCAGCCCCAAGUGCCUUUCAAAAAAUGAUGUCAUUGAUUCUGAAGAAUCAACAUGGAGUUCAGUGCUAUUUGGAUGAUAUUAUUGUGUUUGGAAAUACUACCGAGGAGCAUGACAAUAACCUGCAGUCUGUACUAAACUGCAUCAGCAAAGCAGGCCUCAAGUUCAAUAGGUCCAAAUGCAAAUUUAGACAAACUGAACUCCCCUUUCUGGGGCAUACAAUUUCACAGGCUGGACUAAAACCUGAUCCAGAUCAUAUCCUGGCAAUUUCAAAUGCUCCUCCUCCAACAGAUUUGCAAACCUUACGUUCCUUCUUGGGUCUUACCUCCUGGUAUGCAAAAUUCAUUCCCAAUUAUGCUUCUGUCAUUGAACCGUUACGAGAAUUACUACGGAGAAGUUCAACCUUAGUGUGGACAACGGAUGCACAAGUUAGUUUCGAAAGGGUGAAAGGCUUGAUUGUACAUAGUCCAGUACUUGCAUUAUUCAGUCCCGCAUUGCCCACAACUAUAACUACUGAUGCUUCUGAUUAUGGACUUGGGGCUGUCCUCACACAACUUCAUGAGGACAAUACAGAGAGGACUAUUGCAUUUGCUUCAAGGACACUAAGUAAUGCUGAGAGAAAAUAUUCUACAGUUGAAAAAGAAGCACUUGCUUGUGUCUGGGCUACAGAAAAAUGGAGAACUUACCUGUGGGGCCGCACGUUCAAGUUGCGCACAGACCACAGCCCUUGGACAACGUUGCUCACCACGAAAGGACUGGGAAGAGCAGGAUAUUGUAUUGCUAGAUGGUCUGCAAGACUACUUUCUUUCAAUUAUGAACUGGAAUAUAAGCCCAGUGCUGGGGUCUGGACUAGAUGACCUCUCAGGAUCCCUUCUAGACCUAUAUUGCUAUGAUUCUCACCCUUUGCUCAUAUAGGGACCAUGGCCAGAAAUCCCAGCCAAGUGGACAAUGCUGGAGCCCACUGCUGCCCAUGCUGGGACCAUCUUGCUCCCUCCCUGUUUGACUGUGAGGCCACAGGGAGAUCUGGCCCAUCCCCCCAGCAUCAAUGGCACUCACACAGCAGGGGCUGCUGGAUGAUGACCCCAGCCACAGAGACAGAGCUGCACUGCAGGGUCGUGGCCAGCAUGGUCCCUCCCACCUGCUUCUUACUGCCACCUGGGAUCUCUUCCUCUACCACACUGCUGGAGCCCAGUCCCACCAACCUGCAAGUCCCACCCCUGGGGCUGGGGUGAGACUGAUCUGUGGGUUUAAGAGACACACAAUACAUACCCCUCUGCAGCUCCAGGGGAAGCUCUCACCCAGUCAAGACGCAUUGCUGUCUAGUAGAGCAGAGAAGGAGAGGACUCCUGGGUCCUAUUCAUGGCCCUGACACUGCUUCCAUGUGUGUCCCUACAUGAAUGGCUUUGAUCCCUCUGUGCCUCAGUUCCCUGUCUGUUACACAGGGUGAUGAGCAUGGGGGCAGGACUUUGGGCACCAAUAUGUGAGGCUCUCUGUGAUGCCAGAGCCAAGUGCUUCCCCCGGAGAGCCCUGUAUUGCCCCACAUCAUCAUGGAUUGAACAUCAUAACUAGCCUCCAGGUGGCUGGGGCUGACCAAGGGUCUUCAGACGGGGAACUCCCUGCACGCCCCAUCUGCUGGCUCUCUCCACACCACAGCCAAGGUCUGAUCCAGCUGCCUUGAUGUUAGAUCCCCCCAAUGGCCAUUGGGGUCUGCUCGCUAGGCUGGGCGUUAGAGAACAGGGAACAUCAGGUCCUGCCGGGAGCAGGAUAUUGCUCAGCGCCACAGCCCGCCAGGUCUCCUCCCCACCUGCCAUUCUCAAGUCAGGCCCUGAUGGGGGACCCACACGCCAUCGGGCAGUCAGGAUGACGCCCUUCUGGAGGAUGGUGGGCAGCAAACCACUGGGAGCCUACUGCCGGCACGGCCUGGAGUGCAGCACCAAGAUGUGCAGGAACGGGCACUGUGCUCCCCCACAGUACGAAUGCUGAAAGCUGGAAGCUGAUGCAAUCCCGGCUGGAGACAAUGCUCCCCAUCUACCCCCAGGCUCAGAGCAUCUGCAGACUGGAGGCCAUCAAUACUUGCCCCUGGGGUGGGACUGUGAGACACAUGAUCCAGAGCCCUGCAAUCACCACUUGGGGGCGAGGGCUCCAGCCUCCCAACACAGGUGGGAGUGUGUCCCAGUCUCCUCACAUGCACCCUCGGUGAAGGGGAAAGUAUUCAUAGUUCCAGCGGGGGCCAAUUCCAAGUCUGACCCAGCACCACCCCCCCCCAGCAGCAGCCAUCUGGGGGGCUCCCAUAGUGAAGCCUGCACAGACCCGAGCUGCUCGCAGGGACUGUUGUUGCUCCUGAUAUUGAAUGGGGGCUGAGAGUACAAGGAUUACCCCAACAGGAGCUGGGAGACCAGACCCUUCCUGGCCCCAGCGUUGCUCUGUGCAAGGAAAAUUGGGACUCUUAAAGGAGCCACAUGCGCAAGCAGUUGCCCUCUAUAGGAGCUGAGAUCCCUCCUCAGAGCCAGCCCGACGGAAAUGCCCCUCUGGCCCUUCCCAGCAGAGAGAUCCUUUUUGUGCCUUCAUGCCAAGCCAAGAAAGCAUCCCACCUUGGGGUCCCUCUCCUUCCCCAGGGGCUGGGCAGACUCCCAGCCUGCCCCUGGGGACAGGCUCUAGGUGCAGGCUGGAAGUCUACUGGGGGGAUAUCUUCCUGAGGUGGGGGUUCCCACACUCCCCCAUUGCAAGGUGAUGGGCAGCACCCAAACUGCCACUGCAGGGACCCCAGGGUGGCACCUGAGGUAAACAUGGACUUCUUACUGGAGAGCCCUGAAUCCCACAAGGCUCCUGGUUGGCUGUGUCACCUGCAGUGCGCUGGAUGCCCCAGGACUGCACCUCACAGACUGUUUGAACCUACGUUGCUUGCUCAAACAAUAAAUGCCUCUGGC